rnacentral:rRNA from 1 species
GACGAACGCUGGCGGCGUGCCUGACACAUGCAAGUCGGACGGUCCGUGAUUGAUCAAGCUUGCUUGAUUGGUUGUGGAUAGUGGCGGACGGGUGAGUAACGCGUGAACACCUACCCAUUGGAGGGGUACAACCCGUCGAAAGGCGGGCUAAUACCGCGUAAGCCGUGAGGUGAAAGGCUGCUUUUUGGGGCUGCCGAUGGAUGGGUUCGCGUCCUAUCAGCUGGUUGGUGGGGUAACGGCCUACCAAGGCUAAGACGGGUAGCCGGUCUGAGAGGAUGGCCGGCCACACUGGAACUGAGACACGGUCCAGACUCCUACGGGAGGCAGCAGUGGGGAAUAUUGGGCAAGUGGGGGAGACCCUGACCCAGCGACGCCGCGUGAGGGAAGAAGGUUUUCGGAUCGUAAACCUCUGUUGUACGGGAAGAAGGAAUUGACGGUACCGUACGAGUAAGCCCCGGCAAACUACGUG